rnacentral:rRNA from 1 species
UACAGAGGGUGCGAGCGUUAAUCGGAAUUACUGGGCGUAAAGCGCGCGUAGGCGGCUUUGCAAGUCGGGUGUGAAAUCCCCAGGCUUAACCUGGGAACUGCAUUCGAGACUGCAUUGCUAGAGUAUGGGAGAGGGAAGUGGAAUUUCCGGUGUAGCGGUGAAAUGCGUAGAUAUCGGAAGGAACAUCAGCGGCGAAAGCGACUUCCUGGACCAAUACUGACGCUCAUGUGCGAAAGCGUGGGGAGCAAACAGG